rnacentral:rRNA from 1 species
AUGAUAUUCGCCAACCCUAUUCGCCAGGAAAAUGAUAGCCUGCUACUCGUACUCGACGAAUUUGGUAGUGCCACAGGGCUCCGUAUCAACUUAGAGAAAUCUUUAGUAGCCCCGAUUAGGUGUAGAGACAUCGAUCUUCAGGACACACUUCAUGGUUUUGGCGGUAAUGUUGUAGGAUUCCCGCUGCGCUACCUUGGCCUCCCCAUAACAGUCUCCUGAGUGCACCCAGAUCAUCUUCAAUUCAUCGUCGACAGAAUGAGGGCUAGACUGGCGGCAUGGAAAGGGCGCCUCAUCUCGAUCGUGGGCCGGCGGGGUCUCGUCCGGUCCGUCCUAAUGGCGCUGCCCACCUUUGCCCUCAUGGUUCUACAUGUCCCAAAGAAGCUUCUUAAGGACAUUUACAAAUGUAGGCGGCGUUUUCUCUGGCAAGACAAGGAACUCUCUGGUGGCAACUGCAAGGUUAACCGGUCCACCGUUUGCACCCCGGCGGAUUAUGGAGGUCUUGGUGUUCAUGACUUGCAGCGCUUUAGGUGUGUGUUGAGCCUCAGGUCGCUUUGGCUAUGA